rnacentral:rRNA from 1 species
AUUGAACGCUGGCGGCAGGCUUAACACAUGCAAGUCGAGCGGGGGAAGGUAGCUUGCUACUGGACCUAGCGGCGGACGGGUGAGUAAUGCUUAGGAAUCUGCCUAUUAGUGGGGGACAACAUCUCGAAAGGGAUGCUAAUACCGCAUACGUCCUACGGGAGAAAGCAGGGGAUCUUCGGACCUUGCGCUAAUAGAUGAGCCUAAGUCGGAUUAGCUAGUUGGUGGGGUAAAGGCCUACCAAGGCGACGAUCUGUAGCGGGUCUGAGAGGAUGAUCCGCCACACUGGGACUGAGACACGGCCCAGACUCCUACGGGAGGCAGCAGUGGGGAAUAUUGGACAAUGGGGGGAACCCUGAUCCAGCCAUGCCGCGUGUGUGAAGAAGGCCUUAUGGUUGUAAAGCACUUUAAGCGAGGAGGAGGCUACUUUAGUUAAUACCUAGAGAUAGUGGACGUUACUCGCAGAAUAAGCACCGGCUAACUCUGUGCCAGCAGCCGCGGUAAUACAGAGGGUGCGAGCGUUAAUCGGAUUUACUGGGCGUAAAGCGUGCGUAGGCGGCUUAUUAAGUCGGAUGUGAAAUCCCCGAGCUUAACUUGGGAAUUGCAUUCGAUACUGGUGAGCUAGAGUAUGGGAGAGGAUGGUAGAAUUCCAGGUGUAGCGGUGAAAUGCGUAGAGAUCUGGAGGAAUACCGAUGG